ensembl:lncRNA
GUAACCCUGGGGCCGGUAACACGUGCACUGCUUUUCCUGCUUUUAAUUGAGCAGUAGAGAGUUGGAAAAACAAAAGCCACAGCAACAGCGUGUCUCCCAAAUCCAAAAUGUUUAUUGUUCGAAGUUUUGUGUGGAACUUGUAAGAUCGCUCCCGAAACAAGGAGCGCUAUGACAACUCCCGUCGUACCUGCUGCCACCAUUUUUCCCGUAUCCCUAUUGUCUACCUCUCAAACCAUCUUCCUCAUUGUGAAUGAUUGACUUGUAGAUUCAACAAUACCUGAUUGACUUGUAGAUUCAACAGUACCUGAUUGACUUGUAGAUUCAACAGUACCUGAUUGACUUGUAGAUUCAACAGUACCUGAUUGACUUGUAGAUUCCAACAAAAUAUACUGGCCCAUCCAUCCCCAGAGCACCAACCAGGACCCCCAACAGGACCAAGGAUCUACUCAGGUUCAGUCUCCUGAUACUGGGUAUACAGAACAGUCAUCUGAUCCAAAAGAAAACUCUGUCUUCUCUGUGGUGAACAUAGUGAAAGUCACUGCAUCUGGACCCAUUGAUGUGACCAAUGCUCAGAUUGUCCAUAAAAAGGUCAAAGCCAAUAAAGGUGAGACUGAACAUCCAUCCCUUCAUAUUCAUUCUAUUAUAACUUUACACGUCUCUCAUCUCUCUCUCAUCUUCAUCCGCUUAUCCGGCAUCGGGUCCCGGAAGCUUGCCUUCCGGCUCAGCUCUCUCUUCGUCACAACAGUGCGGUAAAGCGAAUGCAAUACCGCCCCCGCUGCUCGGAUUCUCCGGCCAAUCUCCCACUCCAUUGUCCCCUCACUCGCGAACAAGACCCUGAGAUACUUGAACUCCUUUACUUGGGGUAACGCCUCAUUCCCUACCCGGAGAAGGCACUACAUCGGUUUCCUGCUGAGAACCAUGGCCUCCGAUUUAGAGGUGCUAAUCCUCAUCCCAACCGCUUCGCACUCAGCUGUGCUAAAGGUCACAGACCAUAGAUGCCAUCAGGACCACAUCAUCCGCAAAAAGCAGCGAUGAGAUCCCAAGCCCACCGAACUGCAACCCCUCCCCACCCCGACUACGCCUCGAUAUCCUGUCCAUAAAAGUUACAAACAGGAUUGGUGACAAAGCGCAGCACUGGCAGAGGCCAACCCCCACCUGGAACGAGUCCGACUUACUAUAGAGAACCCAAACACAGCUCUCACUUUGGACGUUCAGGGAUUGGAUAGCCCUCAGAAGGGACCUCCUCACCCCAUACUCCCGCAGCACCUCCCACAGUAUCUCCCAGGUGACCCAGUCAUAUGCCUUCUCCAGAUCCACAAAACACAUGUAGACAGGAUGGGCAUAUUCCCAGGCCCCCUCCAGGAUCCUUGCAAGAGUAAAGAGCUGGUCGGUUGUUCCGCGACCAGGACUGAAUCUGCAUUGUUCCUCUUCAAUCUGAGGUUCGACUAUCUGCCGAACCCUCCUUUCCAGUACCUUUGAGUAGACUUUCCCAGGGAAGCUGAGAAGUGUGAUAUCCCAGCCUCCAGCUCUGCCUCCACUAUAGAGGGCGUGUUAGUGGGAUUUAGAAGUUUCUCGAAGUGUUCCUUCCAUCGCCCAGCUUGGAUAGUUCCUCGUUUUCCCCUCCUGAGGUGGCGGACGGUUUUCCAGAAACACCUUGGUGCUGACCGAAAGUCCUUCUCCAUGGCUUCCCCAAACUCCUCCCACACCCGCUGUUUUGCCUCUUUCACAGCAGAGGUCGCAGCCUUUCGGGUCUGUCGGUACACUGCAACCGUCUCCGGAGUCCUCCGGGAUAACAUAUCCCGAAAGGCCUCCUUCUUCAGUCGGACGGCUUCCCUGACCACCGGUGUCCACCAGGGUGUUCGAGGGUUACCGCCCCUUGAUGCACCUAAGACCUUUAGACCACAGCUCCCCAGCUUCGGCAAUGGAGGCUUUGAACAUUGACCACUCAGGUUCAAUGCCCCCAAUCUCCACAAUGAUGCCAGAAAAGCUCCGCCGGAGGUGUGAGUUGAAGAUCUUUC